AACUCAUUGUCCCAUUCAACCUUAUCAUCUCCCACCAGUGCUCCUCUCCCACUCAACCUUAUCCUCUUUCUACCAACUCUCUCUCUCUAAAAAGCACAGUGUCCCAAUUUAACUUUAUCAUCUUCUCCCGUUCAACCUUAUUAUCUCCCACCAGUGCUCCUCUCCCACUCAAUCUUAUCCUCUAGGCUACUUUCUUCAUUUAGAUCUGGGGAGGGGGCAAAGGGCUACAGCACCGGUGUAGGCUCCAGAAUGGUGUCGCCCCUCCACCUUCAUUAGGUGUGGAACCACCAUCUUCGUCCAUUUCAUUCCCCUUGGAAUGACGUCCUUCGUCAAGCAUAUAGCUGCCUGAUCCAGCUUUCUCCAUGCACAUCGCCAAUCAAGGAGGAUGCUAGAGGAUUGCGCAUCACCAAGCGUGGCGUGCGCCACAGCGCCUCCCCCCCCCCCCCCCCCCUCAUGGCCCACUUUCUUCUCUUCUGCUCUGCAAAUUUUCUUUGCAUUUUGUACAAAAUUGCCUAUAUACUGCAUCAACAUCGCCUAGCAAAAUAUAUUAAAUUGCUUUGCUCAGUUUUUUUUUUUUUUUUGCAGUUCUACCAAUUGGCGUAUACACUGUUUGAAAUUUGGCUAGCAAAAUACAUAAAACUACUUUUACAUUUUGUUUGCAGCUAUCCAAAUUAUGCCAAGCAAAUCUUACUUUAUGAUCUCUGAAUUCAUGCCGAUUUGCUUGCUCCUUUGUUUUAUCUUGCUUGGCUCAUUUUAAUUUGUUUAUAACUUUUAACAAAAAUGCUUAUGACCUGUGUGAACAGGGAAAAACAUAUGUAUUUUUUCAACUUUUUUUGUUUGUUUUUGCCGCACAUUCAAAUGGGAUAUGAAAAAGUCUACAUGCCCAAAAAUAGAAAGAGGGGAGUGAGUCCCGACCAGAUUUUGCUUAAAAGGGGUGUGCAUGCCGAACCAAAAAAUCCUGCGCGCCCAAAAUUUAGCAAAGUCCUUUAUUUUUUUCCCCUCCCUAUCUCUGUAUUUGUACACAUCCUUUUUUUUCUUUCUUAAUAUAUAAUAUAUAGAGACCACGUCCCUUCAGUUUUCCCAAAAAACUGUAAUGUUGAUUUAGUGUCAUAAUAUGUUCCAUGUUUUGGACACGAUUCUGCAACAUGCUUCAUGGCCAACAAGAAACUCGAACCAGCCAUGGAAUGGAAUUUUUUUUCGACUACCAAAAAUACCACUGUUUGAGGAUUUUCUGUUGGAAAUAUGUGAAAUAAUCUAAGUCUAUACUCUACCAAGAGGCAUAUUUCCUUUGUAACAUAAUCUAGUACUAGCAACAGACAGCAAAAACCAAAGAUCUAUCAAGAUCAACAUGGGCUUGGGCUUGAUGAUAUAACAUGGAAGCAGCGCAUGUUGGAUGCAGCGACAACUUGUGGCCGUGCAGAUCGAAGACUAAGAAGUGCAGAUCAUCAAGAAAGUGGAGUGGUCACGCAGAUAUGCUGCCUAUAAACCUUAUUGUUGCCCUCAUACAAGCUUCAUAUCGGCAACAAUAAAUGUGUCUAUCGGGACAAUCAAUUAAAUUAUACAAUGAAUGUGUCCAAGGCUUGAAAGUUACAAUGGGCUGGUGGCCGAAGAACUAUCGAAAAAGGGUUUGCAUACGUCACCGUAGGUUCCUUCGCCCGGAUCACUCGUAUCGCAUCAAGCAAGGGCUUUUGAUGGGACAAAGGAGACUAGUUAAGCUCUAAAGAUUCACGCAAGAAUAGUUAUCUAAGAUGGUAAAGAAUAUUAGAGUUGUUUUUGGAAAGGGGCGAGACAAUACAAAAUUCAGGAGUGGAAAAUCAUCUCCUAUGUGGAAAAGGAGAUCAAUAUUUUGGGACCUACCUUAUUGGAAGAACCUGGAGGUUCAACACGCACUCGACGUCAUGCAUAUCGAGAAGAACUUGUUUGACAGCUUGAUUAGUACCUUACUAGAUAUACCAGGUAAGACAAAAGAUACACUCCAAGCACGGAUAGACCUGAAAGAUAUGAAACUCAAGAAGGACCUACAUCCUGAAGAACUGGACAAUGGGAGAAAGCGACUUCCUACGGCUUGCUACACUCUGAGCAAGGAAGAGAAACACAACUUGUGCGGUUGCUUGCAUGAAGUUAGAGUUCCGUUCGGAUACUCCACCAAUGUAAAGAGACUAGUAUCAAUGAAAGGUUUGAAAUUAGUUGGCA